rnacentral:rRNA from 1 species
GAUCCUGGCUCAGAUUGAACGCUGGCGGCAUGCCUUACACAUGCAAGUCGAACGGCAGCGGGCCUUCGGGUGCCGGCGAGUGGCGAACGGGUGAGUAAUGCAUCGGAACGUGCCAUUGAGGUGGGGGAUAACGUAGCGAAAGUUGCGCUAAUACCGCAUAUUCUGUGAGCAGGAAAGCAGGGGGACCGCAAGGCCUUGCGCUCUUUGAGCGGCCGAUGUCAGAUUAGCUAGUUGGUGAGGUAAAGGCUUACCAAGGCGACGAUCUGUAGCGGGUCUGAGAGGAUGAUCCGCCACACUGGAACUGAGACACGGUCCAGACUCCUACGGGAGGCAGCAGGUGGGGAAUUUUGGACAAUGGGGGCAACCCUGAUCCAGCCAUGCCGCGUGAGUGAAGAAGGCCUUCGGGUUGUAAAGCUCUUUCGGCCGGGAAGAAAUCGCAUGGGUGAAUACCCUGUGUGGAUGACGGUACCGGAACAAGAAGCACCGGCUAACUACGUG